UUGGUUGUAUCUGAACUACAAAGACUUCCGUUGCUCUUCUAUAGACCAUCUUUUGAACCGCAACCAGUUCCAGUUCCCAUGUGCUCUUUUCUUUGCCUUCUCACGUGGUCUCAGUUAUUUAGUUGUCUUUAUUAUAAAUACAACUGGCCAGCUGUCAUGUGAUUCCUCUUCCACUUUCACAGGUUGAUCCCCGCACUGGAUUUUUUCAUCUGGUGUAGGUUCGAUCACCCUCGUCGGUCCAUCUUCUAGUAGGGCCUCUAAAUAAUCUAGAUCACCUAUAGUACCAAGCUCUAAUACUUCUUCAUACUCUGGUAAACCCUCUAACUCUCCAGCAAGCUCUCCCUCCCAAAACAACACAUCCUCACUCUCAUCAUCUUCCACCUCUACACCAAACAACAUGGGACUUAAGGCAACAAGGAACGCAAGAUCGAGUAAAUCAUCCAAGUAGGUUCACUGCGAGCUUGGAAUGAACACACCGCUCUCAAGCGCUUCCGAUAUGACUAAAGGCCAAACGUGUCAAAACUUUUGUAGUAAACUUUUACGGUCAAAGUCUAGUUUGUGUUAAAUGCUUUUUUUAAACUCUUGUUUUGUAUGCAAGUUAUGGUAGUUUGUUAGUACAACUAUGUAUUUUUAACUUGGGAAUGUUAAACUUGGUUUCUUUAGAAAUUUUGUAAGUAGCGUUUGAAAAGUGCUAAAAAUUUACCCAUUUUAGUUGUUGU
rnacentral:lncRNA from 1 species